rnacentral:sRNA from 1 species
GCCAGGCAUAGUGGUGCACACUUGUAAUCCCAGCUACAUGGGAGGCUGAGGCAAGAGGAUUGUUUGAGCCCAGGAGUUUGAGGCCAGCCUAGACAACAAAGCAAGAUCCCAUCUCAC